GAUUAGGAAUGUGUUUUAAUAAUAAUUCGUUUCAGAUAGUAAAAGACGUAUUUUAUUUUAUACGCUGUUCUUAACAUUUCUAAAUCGCAUAAAAGAGAAUUAUUUUCUUCAAGAAUAAAUACAUUCCAUGCACUUGCUUUUUUUUGUUUAUUGUUAUAGGAAAAUGAUUCAUAAAUAAUUCAACUCCAAAUGUCUCAAAAUAUCUUCAAAUUAUAGAAAUACGACUUAGACUUUAGUUCACUUUUAUAAUCAUCGUUUCAUAUAUACACAUAUAUACAUGUAAUCUACAUUGAUAAUUAUUCUAAAUGAAUAAUUUACACAAACACAUACGCACACACACACACACAAACAUAGCUAGAAUACACUUAAAUAUUCAUCGCAUUUAAUAAAUAUUACAUACGAAGCUUUUAACUUAUCCAGGAGGGAAUCAAAUAGUCGAUCAUAAAAUUAAUAUUGAACAAGAUAUCACAGAUGAAGAUCUCAAAGAUUCUCUCGUACCACAUAAUUAAUAAACAUAAUUUAUCUCAUAAUCCUUUCUAAAAACUCUGCUGUAACCGCAAUAUAUUUUUACCUAAAAUAACCGGUCCAUAUGAGAGAUAUUUUGCUCGUGGUAAUAACGCAAUUACGUAGUAAAGGUCGAGUCGAGUGGAGUCGAGUCGUAUAGAGUAGAGUCGUUUGACACGAUGAUCUUUCGGAGUAAUGGACAACGAUCGAUGGAUGCGCCACUCCUUAUUAACGAAGUCAUCGUAAACGAGAGACUCGCAGAAGGGGCUGGCGCGAGCUUGAGCGCGUGGCUGUUUCACAAAGCCCUCUCUGCUUUAUUAACGAACACAAAUUGACCGAUUGUACCUCCUCGAAGCACAAGUGUUUGUUAGUGAUGAGGGGAGGGAUGAGGGGAUAAGGGGUGUUGAAGGGAGGGGAUAAGAAGAAGAGGAUAAUUGUCGGUUCUCUUCUUGUAUCGAGAUGCGACCGUAUAAAUACAAAAUACUGACUAUGAAUCAGAGGAAUAAUUUCCUACUCUCGUCAUAUGGAAUUUAUUUGACUCAUGACUAUAGUUCACCUUGGAAUAUAGUAUUCGCCGAAGCAAUGAUUUGUUAGAAACUGAUGAAGCUGAUAAAGUCGGUGUCCGAGAUCUCUACAAAAAAAAGAAAAAAGAAAAUGAACACAUUUUGGAAGAAUUCAAAAAUUCUUGGGGAAAAGAAAAAUACAGAAAGGAGACAGAAUUUAGCGAUUACAAAAGAAAAUCAUAUUUUCCUCUUUUGGGGGAGAAAAAGAAAAAGGAAGAAGAAAUAAGGGAUGGCCUUAUGAAAAAAGUGCUUGGAAAACGGACAAGACGAUUUCUUUGAGAUUAGACGACGACGACGACGACGACGUUGACGACGUUAACGUCGACAUCGACGAUGAAGACUACGAUGAAGACUCCGACGAGCAAUAAUCUGAAGCUGUUUCUUUAAGAAAUGCACCCUCUCCUUCCCUUCGUUCUUCUUUUACCCCUUAAACGACCCUCUCUCCCAAAAGAAAAGGGCAGAGAAAGAAAAAAAGAAAAAGGAGAAGAAAAAGGAAGAAGCUUUCUAUCGUGUUCCUUUUUUCGACUCGUUUGCCUAUAUCAUAGUAAUAACGAGCAAGUUCCUGGAGAGAGCAUAAGUGUGAUAAAAAGAUAAAAGCAUGCUUGGUAAAAACGUAUUGCUUCUUUGGAAUGUUAAAAAGAAAAAGAAAGAUGGAAAAUGCGUACAUAUGUGAUACGUGCAAGUUUAAUAGGCUGUUUUUCUUUCUCUCUCUCUCUCUCUCUCUCUCUUUUUGUCUUUCUUACAUUUUACUCUUAUGACAAUGAUGAGUAGAGGAUAAACGAAGACAGAGAUAGAGACUGCUCUUACGUGAAAAACGAGAAAUUAUGCCGACGAUAAAGAAUAUAGGAUAAACGAAGAGAAAAGAGGACUAGAUAUAUCCCAUCAAGAUUUAAAAUAGUAAUUUAUUUGUCCAUCUUAUACGAUUGUCUUUAACGAAAUAAUUUCUCACAUAUGUUCCUUCUUACAUAAAGGAUAAACAAAGAAAGAGUUAGAUAUAUUGCUCUUAUGUAAAAAGCAUAUGGAACUUUCUCUCUCUCUUACCUUUACUGACAACAAUGAACGUAGGAUAAAUGAGAAGAGAAAGAGAGAGAUAGAUAUAAACUAUUCCUAUAUGUGAAGCAUCCGGAACUUUCUCUCUUUUUUUCUCUUUUGAUCCUCUACUGGAUCCUCUUGAUGAAAACGAGUCCAAUCACAUGUCAAAUACGAUCAAUUCGAACGUACAAUAGAUCUAUUCGAACAAAAGUAUUAAUCAACAAAAGAAACAUUAAUCGUUUCAUUCCAGUUAUAUCUUAUUAAGAUUAAGAAUACAUGGAAAGUAAAAAAACAAUGAGGUUAAAUAUACAAAAAGGUCGUGUUAAUUAAACUCGAUAAUUUCGAGAAAAUAUUCAGACGGAGUAAGCUUUAAGUGCAUACAUGAACGUUCCUAAAAUGUUCAAAUUGAAGUCGAAGGUCUAUUAUGUGGAUUCACGGAUAUGACUCAAGUUUAACGCAAGUAUUAAACGCUUAAUCGGUUCUAACGAAGAACGGGUUAUCUACUGAUCGAACGUUAGCGCGUUCUUGUUUUCUAAUGUAUUUUCCACGUAUUUUAACGACGAGAGUAUCACGUAUGAGUGUCACGCAAAGCUCUUUUUCUUUCUACGAAAAACGAAUAAAAAACGAACGAAGGAGGAAAAGAAAAAAAAAAGAAGAAAUAGAAAAAAGAAGGAAAAGAAAGAAUGAAAGGAGGAAAGAAAAAUGAACCACCAAGAGGGUGGUUCUUGUAAAAUUGUAGUAGUGUCGAUGGUGGAUAGGAUUGAUACGACGGUGGUGUUUGUGGUGGUGGUGAUGUUGAUGGUGGUGACAGCAGGGUCGUUCCGUGUACAUACGUUAUAAAGUGAAAGCAACAAGCAUCGUUCGAGUUCUUCGAAAUCGAUCGGUAAUUUCCGGGGAGAGGUGACUUCACUCAGGGAUUCCAUCGAAGUCACGCUUUCUCGUUUCGUUUAAUAUACAUGUGUAUAAUGUACACGUGUGUAAGUAUAUAAUCCCACGAUAUAAAGUGACGAAGAAAUAUCAAAGUACUUUUCUACGUAAAUGUUCACAAAAACCUGAAGGAAAAGGCUGGACUACGACUUUAUGGGAUUCGUUAUCACCGGAAGGAACGUUAACUAGAACACUAAUAAGAAUAUCUAAAACAGAAGCUUGAGAGAGUAGAGAUUGGAAUAAUCAGAGGUCAAAUGUCAACGCGGAUGUGUAAUUCCCCCUUCCGUAUUGACACGGUGGAGUUACACGGUAAAAUGUACAAGGGUUAGAACUUUACACUUUCUGUAGUUAUGAGGACUUUUAAAUCACGUACAAGUGUCCUCUUCUUUUGAAGAAACAAAGAAAGAAAAAAAGGAAGAAAUAGAGAAAACAAAAAAGAAACAAAAAAGAAAGAAAUAAAGUGCGAGUUGAGGGAUGUCAACUAAGAGAAGGGUAAACACAACAAAAAAAAAGAGAGAGAGAGAGAGAGAGAGAGAGAGAGAGAGAAAGAGAGAAAGAGAGACAAGAAAGAAGAGGGGAAAAAAGAAACACUUAAAAAAAAGGGUAGGAAACGAAGUACGUCCUAGGACAGAUGAAGAAAGCUCCCACUACUGUACAUAUCGGUGUUAUGGACCCAUGGCGGCGCGUCAUCUACACUUGUGAACGACGACGACGACGACGUGCCGAUAAGCAGUAGAAGAUGAAUUAUAAGGACGCCAUUAAUCGAAAACACAAUGCAACAUAGUCAAUCAUAUUCUUUUUUUCUUUUUUUUACUUUUUCAUUCUUUUUUUUUUUUAUAAAAAAGCUAUUGGAACUUGUUCAACGUUUGCAAGCCAGCAAAGAAGAUAAAUUAUAAAAGACAGGCAUUCUAGAAAAACUAUUGUAAUUUGUGAAAACGUUUGUAAUUAUCAAAGAAGAUAGUUCACAAAGGAAAGUUAUUUCGUAACGAGAAUAAUCAAAUUUACAAUCCAACAUAAAGGAAUGAAUUUAUCUUCGGACUAAAAAAAAAAAAAAAAAAAAGAAACAAA